GCGCUACGAGGAGAUGGUCGAGUUCAUGGAGAAAGUCACCGCCGCCGCCUCGGUCGACGGCGAGGAGCUCACCGUUGAGGAGCGCAACCUUCUCUCCGUCGCCUACAAGAACGUCAUCGGCGCCCGACGCGCCUCGUGGCGGAUCGUCUCCUCAAUAGAGCAGAAGGAGGAGGGCCGCGGCAACGACGACCACGUCGCCACGAUCCGCGAUUACAGGUCCAAGAUCGAGACCGAGCUGUCAAACAUCUGCGGCGGCAUCCUCCGCCUCCUCGACACUCAUCUCGUCCCCUCCGCCGCCACGUCGGACUCGAAGGUGUUUUACCUGAAGAUGAAGGGGGAUUAUCACCGCUAUCUUGCGGAGUUCAAGAUCGGAGCGGAUCGGAAGGAUGCGGCGGAGGCGACGCUUGCUGCGUACAAGGCGGCGCAGGAUAUCGCCGUGGCGGAGUUGGCACCGACGCAUCCGAUCCGUCUUGGCCUGGCGCUGAACUUCUCGGUGUUUUACUACGAGAUUCUGAACUCGCCGGACCGGGCUUGUAACCUUGCAAAGCAGGCUUUUGAUGAAGCUAUUGCGGAGCUGGAUACACUUGGAGAGGAAUCUUACAAGGACAGCACUCUCAUUAUGCAGCUCCUCCGUGACAACCUCACCUUGUGGACCUCAGACAUGCAGGAUGAUGUUGACGAGAUCAAGGAAGCACCCAAACGAGAUGAUGAGUAGGAGCAACUUCAAACAAGUCCAGCAUUCUGUUUAUGGAAUUCUAGUAGAUAGCUGAAUGAUGCCUGUUAUCUUAUAUUUUAUGGGAUUUUUAGGUGUUUUAUUUCUCGUUAGUUUGUAGCCUGUCUCUUGUGUUUCGACUUGGAUGGUCCCUAUCAUUUUAUCCUCUAAAUCAGUGGCUU
rnacentral:misc_RNA from 1 species